AUUCCAGCUCCAAUAGCGUAUAUUAAAGUUGUUGCAGUUAAAAAGCUCGUAGUUGGAUCUCGGGUCCAGGCUGGCGGUCCGACGCCUGUCGGUUACUGCCUGCUCCUGACCUACCUCCCGGUUUUUUCGCCCUUGGUGCUCUUGACUGAGUGUCUCGGGUGGCCGGAACGUUUACUUUGAAAAAAUUAGAGUGUUCAAAGCAGGCAAUAUCGCCUGAAUAAUGGUGCAUGGAAUAAUGGAAUAGGACCUCGGUUCUAUUUUGCUGGUUUUCGGAGCUCGAGGUAAUGAUUAAGAGGGACUGACGGGGGCAUUCGUAUUACGGUGUUAGAGGUGAAAUUCUUGGAUCGCUGUAAGACGAACUACUGCGAAAGCAUUUGCCAAGCAUGUUUUCAUCG
rnacentral:rRNA from 1 species